UACAUGACAGUCGGCUCAGCCUAUCAUCGGCCGAGGCGGGACAUCGCUGCGGCCGGUGAUAGGCUGAAGGCUCUGUGACGUCCCAACACCAGGAAGCAGCGAUAACAGUGGAGGGACCAUGAGGCCGGUUCCUUAGCAACGGGGGAACGGAGGACGAAGUAUAUUUUAGAAGUGAGCAAGGCCCAAAUGAGAGAACAUGAGGAAAAUGUAAAAUCUUAAUGGAAAUAUUGUCUUGCCACCAUAUUUAAAGAAAACAUGCGACCACUUUCAUGCUGCCUGAACCAAGAGUCAUCGGGUAGUCCCUGCCAUCUCUUCUGCAGGAAGAAUAUUCCAUGCGUCCACUAAAGGCAUCACAAUGUGAUUUUCUAAUUGCUGCUAUAACGAACGCUGUGGUGUACGCAGUAUAACAAAGCAUUUUUAACUAA